GCAUUGGUGGUUCACUGGUAGAAUUCUCGCCUGCCACACGGGAGACCCUGAUACGGUUCCUGGCCAAUGCA
rnacentral:tRNA from 1 species